UUGCGGUUAAAAAGCUCGUAGUUGGAUCUCGGCGGGCAGGGGGUGGUUCGCUCUUCAGCGCUACUGCCCCGCUUUGCCCGUGUGAUUGGCGGAGGUUUCGGGGUGCUCUUCGUUGAGUGACUCGGAGCGCCGUCAGGUUUACUUUGAAAAAAUUAGAGUGCUCAAAGCAGGCUAUUACGCUUGAAUAUUCGUGCAUGGAAUAAUAGAAUAGGAAGUUGUUUCUAUUUUGUUGGUUUUCGGAAAUCGACUUAAUGAUUAAUAGGGACAGUCGGGGGCAUUUGUAUUCAAACGACAGAGGUGAAAUUCUUGGACCGUUUGAAGACAAACUACUGCGAAAGCAUUUGCCAAGAAUGUUUUCAUUAAUCAAGAAUGAAAGUUAGAGGUUCGAAGGCGAUUAGAUACCGCCCUAGUUCUAACCAUAAACGAUGCCAGCUAGCGAUCUGAGGACGUUUUUUUUGUAGACUCCUCAGGAAGCUUCCGGGAAACCAAAGCGUGUGGGUCCCGGGGGAAGUAUGGUUGCAAAGCUGAAACUUAA
rnacentral:rRNA from 1 species